GUGCACGGUGUCCGUGUGUGGCGUGUAUGCGUGUGACAGUGUCUCUUUUAUUACCUUGUAUCUUUCUCUUUUGUUUUGUGGUUUUCGGCCCCUUUCUGGAAGGUACGCGUUUGCUGGCUUCUGUGGUUAUUUUCGCCUAACAGCUGUGUUUCCGGCAGGCAGCUGAGGGUUCUUCUGACUCAGCAAAACCCGAGUGGUAACUGUCAAGAAGCCGCUCAAGCGGGGCUGGAAAUAAAGAUGCCGUUCCUCCGGCAUCACCCCCCACCGCCCAGACUCCUUUCACUUCCUUCCCCCUGCUGAUUGACUAACCAAAAGAGGCUGUCUGUCUCAACCCCCACGCCGCAGCUUGGACCGAAGGAGCCCAGCUAACCCUUCUUACAAGGGACUUGUGCAGGCUCCCGCCUGAUGGGGGCAUCUCGCCUCAAGGAGGACUCCAUGGACAGCGCAGUUCAGUGGGUGUAUUUGUGUCUUUUUUUUUUUUUUUUUUUUUUUUUUUUUUUGCCAUCCUGAAACAAGAUGGCAUUGAGAAAUAUUGCCCCAUGGGCUUGGGGGUCCUGGAAUUUCUCACUAGGGAACAGCUUGGGAGCUGAAGCCAGCAGGGAGCUCCCAAAGCAGUUGGUUGGUUUCAUGGUACGGUUUGUAAAAAGAAAGAAGUUGCUGAUGAGGCUUGAAGGAAAAGACUGGAACGGAGCACUGAGCCCUGCGGGAUGGGGUCCAACUGGAGUCAUGAGUUCCCGUCCUCUGUGACUAUGGAAUGCCUCCGGGUCUCACACAGCCCAUCUACCUUUGAACUCAACAUGUAGCAGAAGAUGAUCUCAGACUUCUCGUCCCUCUGCAUCCGAUCCUGAGUGCUAGGAUUACGGGCCUGUGCUGAGGAUGGGACUCGGGUGUAGCAGGCUGUAUUUGGGCCACCAACCAGCUCCCAAAUCAUGACAGAGACUUCUUAUUAGUUAUGAAUGUUCGGUCCUAGCUUAUGCUCGGGUUUUGGUUAGGCUUUUUCUUUAUUUUUUUUUUUAACUUAAAUUAACCUGUCUCUUAUUAUCUAUGUUUUUGCCUCAGUGCUUUUUACCUUUCUUUAUUAUUGUAUGUCCUACUCUGUAUCUGCUGGCUGGCGCUAGAUGUCUCCCAUCUUCCUGGUUCUCUUGCUUGUCUUAUACUUACUCUCUCUUCCCUCCAGCCCUGCCUAUCCCUCUACUGCCUAGCGAUUGGCUGUUCAGCUUUUGAUUAGACCAAUCCAGUGCCCUAGGUAGGCAAGGCAAAUGCAACACAUCUGUACGUUGUUAAACAAACGCAGCAUAAACAAAUGUAACACAUCUUUACACAGUUAAAGUAAUAUUCUGCAACAUAAACAAAUGUAACACAUCUUUGCACAGUUAAAGCAAUAAAUAUUCCGCCAUAUAAACAAAUGCAACACAUCUUUACAUAGUUAAAGUCCUAUUCCAGAACACCCAGGGCUUCGAAUGGGCUUUGCUAACUGAACCGCUCUCUCGACCCAGAACUGGGUUGUCUGGGAGGAAGUAAAUGACACUCAGCCUACUUCUUAGUGAGCCACGAUGGUGUCUGGUGAGCUCUGCUUUACCUGCCUGUCACAUGACCGCAGCUCAAUUCUGUCUCCCCCACUUUGCACGAGAUCGCCUGGUCCUUUUACCCUCAAACUCUGGCAGCAAGCAGGAGGCCCAGGUGUGGUCACAGUCUCCCACAGCCCUGACCAGAGUGAUGCUGGGAUGUCUGUGAGACUCGGGCUGGCACAAGGGAGCCAACUUCCGGAACUCCUGGGAGAAAAGGCAUCUUACAGUUAGGAUUCCAAGGGGUCCCGUGGUGGCUGUCUAUAUUACAGAGGGGAGAACUGGCCUGAAGACGAAGCAGAUGUGGAGAGGCUGCAGGCUGUCACAGCACAGCCCCCCACACCUGCUGCCACCAAACCUGUCCCUUCCUUUGGGCCUCGGAACUUUAUUAUGGGGUAGGGCCCUUAUUUGGGGAACUGAGAGCAAACCCAGUGAAUGUGUGUGGAGCCCUGGGCUUCAGUACCACAAAACCAGUGAAUCCCAGAUGCCAUUGUGCAUGGCCCUCCCAACCCCAUCCCCUCCACCCCC